UUACGGCCACAUCACAUUGAAACACCGGUUCCCGUAUGAUCACCGAAGUUAAGCAACAUCAAGCCUAGUCAGUACGGAGAUGGGAAUACCAGGUGCUGUAAG